CUAACGCUUUCCUCCCUACUCCCCCUGCGACCACCCCGCAGCUCGCUACGGAGGCCCCCGAAGUACAAACGUCCCUCACGCUCCGAGCCCCCUCGGAGGCUGCGUCCAGUCUGACUCCUCGGGCCCUAAAGCCCUGUGCUCAUUUUUCUUUGUUUUUUGUUUCUUGUUUUUCUUUUAGUCAGGAAUUCGCACUGGUGAGUUCCCUAAGGCGGCAGAAACUUUUGCCUCUUCACGGAAGUAAAAGUUGGUUCUCUUUUACCCGCUGCCGCCCAGGCCUCCCGCAUUCCUUCCCUCCCGCCUCUCCGGAUAGUGGCGGGCGGGGGAGGAGGAAGCCAGAGCGCCUGCGCGGGGAGGCCGCUUUCCAUCCGGGUCCCUGUCCGUGCGGUGCAGCAGGUCGGUAGGCGGGAAAUGGCGACUGGCUGAAGGAGCUGGUUCUGUUGCUGCUGAGGGAUAAGCGGGAAAGACACCACCUAUUGCGCAGUUGGGACCAUCGCCGGAGCCCGAGGACACUUUUCUGUCGUCACAGUGAAGGUUUACAUGUGGCACCCAUAAAAGAUGAAGCUGAGAACACGGAAGGCUUCUCAGCAGUCCAGUCCAAUCCAAACACAGCGCACUGCCAGAGCAAAAAGGAAAUACUCAGAGGUUGAUGAUAGCUUGCCUUCAGGAGGAGAAAAACCAUCCAAGAAUGAAACCGGCUUAUUGUCUUCAAUUAAAAAGUUCAUUAAAGGAAGCACGCCCAAGGAAGAGAGAGAAAAUCCUUCAAAACGGAGUA
rnacentral:lncRNA from 1 species